GGCGAAUAGCUCAGUAACACGUGGGGACCCUACCCUUCGGAACAAAAUACCCUCGGGAAACUGAGGCUAAUAGUGUAUAUCGUACCAGCCACUGCGAAUGAGUGGUACGCCAAACGCUCCGGCGCCGAAGGAUGUGGCUGCGGCCGAUUACGUAGACAGUGGGGGAACGGCCCACCGUGCCAAGAAGCGGUAUGGGUCAUGAUGAGUGAGAACCCAUAGACGUGAAUCUGAUACAAGAUUCCGGGCCCUACGGGGCGCAGCAUGCGCGAAACCUUUACACUGCACGAGCAGUGCGACCAGGGGGAUGCCAAGUGCACACGCAUAUGCGCCUGUGCUUUUCGCGCGCACUAAGGCGGUGCCAGAAUACAGGCUGGGCAAGAGCGGUGCCAUGCCGGCCUGCGGUAAUACCGGGGAGCCCAGGUGAUGGUCGAUCUUACUGGGCCCAAGAGCGUCCGUACGCCUGGUCGGCGCAAGUCCAUCGGUAAAUCCACGUUGCACAACAGGCUGGGCGCCUGG
rnacentral:rRNA from 1 species